GAUGAACGCUGGCGGUAUGCUUUACACAUGCAAGUCGUACGAGAGUUUUUAACUCAAGUGGCGGACGGGUGAGUAACACGUAAGAAUUUGCCUUUAGGAGGGGGACAACAGCUGGAAACGGCUGCUAAUACCCCAUAUGCUUUCGAGUGAAAUGAAUUUUUUUCGCCUAGAGAGAAGCUUGCGGCUGAUUAGCUUGUUGGUGAGGUAAUGGCUCACCAAGGCGACGAUCAGUAUCUGGUUUGAGAGGACGAUCAGACACACUGGAACUGAGACACGGUCCAGACUCCUACGGGAGGCAGCAGUAGGGAAUUUUCCGCAAUGGGCGAAAGCCUGACGGAGCAAUCUCGCGUGAGGGAUGACGGCCUAUGGGUUGUAAACCUCUUUUUUCAGGGAGGAAUAAAUGACGUGUACCUGAAGAAUAAGCAUCGGCUAACUCCGUGCCAGCAGCCGCGGUAAGACGGAGGAUGCAAGUGUUAUCCGGAAUCACUGGGCGUAAAGCGUCUGUAGGUGGUUUAAUAAGUCAACUGUUAAAUCUUAAAGCUCAACUUUGAAAUCGCAGUCGAAACUAUUAGACUAGAGUAUAGUAGGGGUAAAGGGAAUUUCCAGUGGAGCGGUGAAAUGCGUAGAGAUUGGAAAGAACACCGAUGGCGAAGGCACUUUACUGGGCUAUUACUAACACUCAGAGACGAAAGCUAGGGUAGCAAAUGGGAUUAGAUACCCCAGUAGUCCUAGCCGUAAACAAUGGAUACUAGAUGUUGAACAGAUCGACCUGUGCAGUAUCAAAGCUAACGCGUUAAGUA
rnacentral:rRNA from 1 species